rnacentral:rRNA from 1 species
AUUGAACGCUGGCGGCAGGCCUAACACAUGCAAGUCGAGCGAGCGGCGGACGGGUGAGUAAUGUAUGGGGACUGCCCGAUAGAGGGGGAUAACUACUGGCAACGGUGGCUAAUACCGCAUACUAUUGGCUGACCCAAGUGGGAUUAGGUAGUAGGUGGGGUAAAGGCUCCCCUAGGCGACGAUCUCUAGAUGGUCUGAGAUGAUGAUCAGCCACACUGGGACGGAGACACGGCCCAGACUCCGACGGAGGCAGCAGUGGGGAAUAUUGCACAAUGGGCGCAAGCCUGAUGCAGCCAUGCCGCGUGUAUGAAGAAGGCCUUAGGGUUGUAAAGUACUUUCAGCGGGGAGGCGUUACCCGCAGAAGAAGCACCGGCUAACUCCGUGCCAGCAGCCGCGGUAAUUC